CCUUUCAGCCAUUUUUUUAUUUACAGUUUGUGUUUAAUGCAAAUCAAUUCCAUAACAUGAGAGGUCACUAUGAAUCAAAGCAUAAAUACACAAACACAAUAUACAAUUCAAAAUAGAUGUACAGCAUUCAGGUAUGAAGCAAAAGGGGUGUUCAUUCACACACACGGUAGCUUCCAAUCUGUUUGAUUUGGUUGUUUCUGCUUAGAUUUCUAAGGACGGGGAAAAAGUGGCUUUAGUUAUCAAGACUGCUGUGGCCAUAUUAGAUACUGAAACAUCUAAGCAUCAGUGUGUGACCAUGCGAACAAAUGAAUUCUUAGAAAGGUUUCUGUGUAUCAAGGCAGUUGUAAAAGAUUUACUGCAGAAUCAAGCCCACUUUGGGGCAUAGGACCAGGCUCUAACUAUCUAAAAAUAUUGACUGAAAACAAGAAGUGUUCCAAAUGUGUCUAUUCUGAUCCAUAGCUUU